rnacentral:tRNA from 1 species
GGGCGCUUAGCUCAGCUGGUUCAGAGCACCUGCCUUACAAGCAGGGGGUCACUGGUUCGAAUCCAGUAGUGCCCA